UCUCAUUCUCCUCCCCGUGUCACCAGCCCCUUCCUGGUCAACUCGGUCCCCCAAUGAAUCAUCUUUUAUCAGCACCACUCUGAGCAGGACAAGCCCAGGGACAAAGCUUUCUCCCUGCAGAAACCCCAGUGUCUCCCAGUUUAGGUGAGAGAAAAGCCCAGAAGGAAGCGGAGGCGGCCCAGCCCCUGGCCCCGACGGCCUCUGCCCAGCCAAGGUCCGCGCAUCCCGGGCGUCCCGCGCGCCACAAACCGCGGAAACGAGACCCAAAGUUUGCGGCGCUUGUCGCCCUUUCCGAGUUCACUGUCCUACCGCCCGCCCCGUCCUGGACCGGCUCGGAGCCCGAGCUGGGUGGCCGCCCCCCUCCCCGCGCCCCUUGCAGGGCGCCCUGCCCUCCCGA